rnacentral:rRNA from 1 species
AUACGGAGGAUACAAGCGUUAGUCCGGAUUUAUUGGGUUUAAAGGGUGCGUAGGCGGUUUUAUAAGUCAGCGGUGAAAGUUUGCAGCUUAACUGUAAAAAUGCCGUUGAAACUGUCGGACUUGAGUGUAAAUGAGGUAGGCGGAAUGCGUGGUGUAGCGGUGAAAUGCAUAGAUAUCACGCAGAACUCCGAUUGCGAAGGCAGCUUACUAAGCUACAACUGACACUGAAGCACGAAAGCGUGGGGAUC